rnacentral:tRNA from 1 species
GGGCGAGUGGUGGAAUGGCAGACACGCCAGACUUAGGAUCUGGUGCCGAAAGGCGUAGGAGUUCAACUCUCCUCUCGCCCACCA